rnacentral:lncRNA from 1 species
CAUAGAAAUAACAGUAAAUAUAAUUAACCAAUUACAUAUUAUACCUUAAAAUGAAUAAUUAUUGCAUACUAUCUUAAUAAUUAACAAUUUAAUUAUAUAAAUUAUUUUCACCAUCAAUGUUUUUAUUUUGUAUUGGCAAUUAUUUUAUUGACAGGUAACGGAUAUCUUUCAGAGUCUAGUCUCUGUCUGUCAGUGUCUGUUCAGUUCUUUGCUGUUGUUUUGAAUUGUGGUUUGUUACUGCAUCUGAGCAAAUUAUCUGGUCAUUUUUACGUUGAGUCGAGGAACUGCUCCUCCGUACUCUAUCUGUUGAUAGUACUUUCGCGAAAGGACGCUUUAUUACUUGUGUUGUGUGUGUACGUGCUUUAAAAUGACGAGUUUGCAAUGCAUCAAUUGCAACGUUCGCUUGUCGCGAAUACGAAGGCACGCUUUAUCCGAUGAGAGUGAAGAUAUCGUCAAUACUAUUCGGCUGUGGACAUAUCUUAGAGAUAUAACACCUGCUGACCAUGUUUGCCGCACGGAACAAAUAUUUGAAUGAUCUGCAAGUAGUUGUUCUGGGUCUGGGUAUUUCUGCACAUGAGUUUCUAUGUUGGUGAAAUAAUACUAAGAAUAGAUUAAAUAAUUAUAAGAACAAUAAAAUAGAUGUAUAUUCCUACAAAAACAAA